rnacentral:rRNA from 1 species
ACUCAAAGGAAUUGACGGGGGCCCGCACAAGCGGUGGAGCAUGUUGUUUAAUACGUCACUAACCGUAGAACCUUACCAGGGCUUGACAUCCUCUGCACCGGGGUGAAAGCCUCGUUCCGAGCAAUCGGACGGAGAGACAGGUGUUGCAUGGCUGUCGUCAGCUCGUGUCGUGAGAUGUUGGGUUAAGUCCCGCAACGAGCGCAACCCUCACGCGAUGUUGCCAUCGGGUAAAGCCGGGAACUCUUCGCGAACUGCCGGGGUAACUCGGAGGAAGGCGGGGACGACGUCAAGUCAGCAUGGCCCUUACGCCCUGGGCUACAAACAUGCUACAAUGGGCGGUAGACAAAGGGAACCGAGGCGGCGACGCGGAGGCAAUCCCAAAAAUCCGCCCCCAGUUCGGAUUGCAGGCUGCAACUCGCCUGCAUGAAGUCGGAAUCGCUAGUAACCGCAGGUCAGCUAAACUGCGGUGAAUACGUUCCCGGGCCUUGUACACACCGCCCGU